GACGAACCGUGCGAACGUUGUUCGGAAUCACUGGGCUUAAAGGGCGCGUAGGCGGGCGGGCAAGUCUGCGGUGAAAGCCUCCAGCUCAACUGGAGAAGUGCCGUGGAUACUGCUCAUCUUGAGGAGGGUAGGGGCGUCUGGAACGUUGGGUGGAGCGGUGAAAUGCGUUGAUAUCCAACGGAACUCCGGUGGCGAAGGCGAGGCGCUGGACCCUUUCUGACGCUGAUGCGCGAAAGCUAGGGGAGCAAACAGG
rnacentral:rRNA from 1 species